GACAGAGGACUACACACCCUGGGCUGUGUACUUUUCUGUCAAGACACACUUCUCUUAUUUCAGACCCUAACAGCACUGCAUCACUUUACCUACAUUAAAAACUAAAAUAUGCAAGAUCGCUGUGCCCAGUAUGCAACCCCUACUAUUGAGAAGUCAGUCAUUUCUAGCACCUAAAAUCACAAGCAAGUUGGUUGUAAUUUCUGAAAACAUGUGGGAGGCCCA
rnacentral:misc_RNA from 1 species